rnacentral:miRNA from 1 species
CUGUGCAUUUCAGGGCUUUCGCUUGGCAUUAACAAAUUUGGUGCCAAACGAAAGAAUUGUGCACUGCAAUUUAUUC